GAUGAACGCUGGCGGCGUGCUUAACACAUGCAAGUCGAACGGACUUUACAUGAAGCCUAGCGAAUGUAAAGUUAGUGGCGGACGGGUGAGUAACGCGUGAAUAACCUGCCUUAUACUGGGGGACAACGGUUGGAAACGACUGCUAAUACCGCAUAAGCGCACGGAGCUGCAUGGCUCAGUGUGAAAAACUCCGGUGGUAUAAGAUGGAUUCGCGUCUGAUUAGCUAGUUGGUGAGGUAACGGCCCACCAAGGCGACGAUCAGUAGCCGGCCUGAGAGGGUGAACGGCCACAUUGGGACUGAGACACGGCCCAAACUCCUACGGGAGGCAGCAGUGGGGAAUAUUGCACAAUGGGGGAAACCCUGAUGCAGCGACGCCGCGUGAGUGAAGAAGUAUUUCGGUAUGUAAAGCUCUAUCAGCAGGGAAGAAAAUGACGGUACCUGACUAAGAAGCUCCGGCUAACUACGUG
rnacentral:rRNA from 1 species